UUGGAGGGCAAGUCUGGUGCCAGCGGCCGCGGUAAUUCCAGCUCCAAUAGCGUAUAUUAAAGUUGUUGCAGUUAAAAAGCUCGUAGUUGAAUUUCGGGAUCAAAUUGUUGGUCGUGCUUCGGUACGCACUGGCAUUAUUGGUUCCUACCUUCUGAAGAACCGCGAUGUCAUUAAUUUGGUGUCGUGGGGAAUCAGGACUGUUACUUUGAAAAAAUUAGAGUGUUUAAAGCAGGCGUACGCUUGAAUACAUUAGCAUGGAAUAAUGAAAUAGGACGUUUGAUUCUAUUUUGUUGGUUUCUAGGAUCGACGUAAUGAUUAAUAGGGAUAGUUGGGGGCAUUAGUAUUCAAUUGUCAGAGGUGAAAUUCUUGGAUUUAUUGAAGACUAACUACUGCGAAAGCAUUUGCCAAGGAUGUUUUCAUUAAUCAAGAACGAAAGUUAGGGGAUCGAAGACGAUCAGAUACCGUCGUAGUCUUAACCAUAAACUAUGCCGACUAGGGAUCGGAUGAUGUUAAUUUUAUAAUGACUCAUUCGGCGCCUUACGGGAAAC
rnacentral:rRNA from 1 species